rnacentral:rRNA from 1 species
UGGGGAAUAUUGGACAAUGGAGGAAACUCCGAUCCAGCAAUUCUGUGUGUGUGAAGAAGGUUUUAUGACUGUACAACACUUUUAGUAGGGAAGAAAAAAAUGACGGUACCUACAGAAGAAGCAACGGCUAAAUACGUGCCAGCAGCCGCGGUAAUACGUAUGUUGCGAGCGUUAUCCGGAAUUAUUGGGCUUAAAGGGCAUCUAGGCGGUAAGACAAGUUGAAGGUGAAAACCUGUGGCUCAACCAUAGGCUUGCCUACAAAACUGUUGAACUAGAGUACUGGAAAGGUGGGUGGAACUACACGAGUAGAGGUGAAAUUCGUAGAUAUGUGUAGGAAUGCCGAUGAUGAAGAUAACUCACUGGACAGAAACAGACGCUGAAGUGCGAAAGCUAGGGGAGCAAACAGG